CUUCUCUCAGUCUCACAGGGAUGAUGGUGAUGAUGAGCAGUGUUUGAUGAUGAUGAUGACGGGCAGUGUUUUAUGAUGAUGAUGAUGAUGAUGAGCAGUGUUUGAUGAUGAUGAGCAGUGUUUGAUGACGAUGAUGAGCAGUGUUUCUCCCCCCAGGAGCCUUGGUUCUGGCUGACAGCAGAGCUGGCCAGCAGCUGCUCCUGGGACACCAAGCUGGGCCAGAGCUGUGCCAGGAGGGACCUGUCGGAGCUGCCCACGCUGGAGGAAGGGCUGCUGCCCUCAGCAGAAGCUUCUGGAGCUGCAGUUCCUGCCUCACCCCUGGAUGUCCAGGAGAGCAGAUUCUCCCCCUGCCUCCCCCUGCUGCUGAGCCCAGCCCGGGGUGAGACAUUCCUGCAGGGAUCCCAGAUGGAUUUCCUUCCCCUCAGAGGAGUCCCAGAUGUUUCUGGAGCAUCCCUGGAGCGUUCAGAGCCUGCCCACGUCCAUGGCACUGCAUUCCUGAGGGGCCCAGCCCUUCCCAGCCCACCCCAGCACUCCCAGCCCGUGGCACAGGAGGAUCCUGGAGCUGCUCCCCAGCCUGGGCAGCCCCUGGGCAGCCAGGGGGACAAUGGGGACAGUGGGGACAAUGAGCAGGAGGCACUGAUCCCCCGGGGCAGGGGGGAUCCAGCACAGCCAGCUCCAGAGCAGGGGCUGGGAAAGGGGCUGGGGCAGCCCCGGGGCACAGCUGGGAGGGAUGGACACUGCUCUGGUCACUCCUGUGGUCACUCCUCCCAGGACAGUGAUGGCCCAGCUGCUGCCCCUGAACUCUCAGAGGGGAACAAGGAGUCCCCAGGGCAGGAGGAAUCUUCCUCCUCCUCCUCAGGAAACUCUUCCUACAGAACUGCCCUGACCAAAUUCUCAGAGAAAAGCGAGAGGGGUGUGCAGCAGGUGAAGGUGAUGGUGGCUGGCAGUGGGGCAGGAGCGCUGGAGAAGGGAAGGAAGGUGCCUCAGCCUGGUUUGUCCCAUAACUUUUCUGAUGGCCUGAGGAAAAGCCAUGCUAAGAACUCGGCUGCUGAAGAUGUUCUUUGUGCAGCAGCCUCUGGGGCAGGCAGAGGAGGGCUGCAGGAGCCUGGGGUGCAGCUCAGGGGCUCCCAGGAGCUGGGGCUGGGCUCCAUGGCUGCUCCUGAGGGGCUGCAGGCAGCUCUCUGGGGCCAGCAGCAGCCAGCAGGGAGGCUGGGGACAGAGGGGCUGCUCCCUGCUGGGACACCCAGCCUGACCCAGCCCCAGGAUGCUGCCCUCUGCCCUGGGCACUCCCCGGAGCCUGCAGGGAGCAGGGAUGAGCUCACUGCCUCUGACUGCUCCAUACAGAGGGGACACAAAGCCACAGAGAUCUCCCCUUCCUUCAGCCUGGGGGCUGAGGGCUCCUUCUCCCUGCUCCUGCCUCAUCCCAACUUCCAGUCCACGCCAGGGGUGUUCCUCAAGAGAGCUGGGAAGGCAGAAGGACCUGGUGAAGGCCUGGUGAUGCUCUCAGACCUUCAGGCCUCUCCUUGGUGUCCCAGUGAAGAAGCCCCAGGGAUGUCCCCUGUCCCUGGGGAGGAGCAGCCCCUUCCCCAGAGUGCUGUGGCAGAGACCUGUGGGCGUUUGGAGUCCCUGAAGCUGGAAUCUCCCUGCCCUGGCAGGAUGCAGUCCUUCCCCUCACUGAGCUUCCUGGAGAAGGUGGGAGCCUGGCACCUGCAGGGUCCUGCUGCCACCUGUGUGCCAGGUGCAUCUCCUCCUGCAAGGAAAGCCUCCAGUGCACCUCCCAGGCAUUCAGGCUGUGUUUCAGCAGUGCAGGAAAGCCUGGGGGACCCCAAGGGCAGUGCUGCUCGUGCCUGCAGGGGCACAGGUUCCCUGGGAAAUGUGCAUUUCCCCCAGACUGAGCUGCUGCCUGCCCUCCCUCUGAGCAGGUCCCAGUCUGACAGCACCAUGAACAUCUCCAGCAGGAGCACAGCCCUGCCUGCCCUGAGCCCUGCAGCACAGGGGGAGCAGAGUGCUGCUCUGGGGGGCUCUGACAGCCCCACCCCAGAGAAGGGGCUGCCUGGAUCCCCUGCUGAAAAUGAGCACAGCACCACCAGGCGAAGCUCGGCCCCAGAUGUGUUUGUGCCCAGUGCUGCUCAGCUCCCUCAAAAGGAUGGGAGCUCCCCAGCUGAGGAGCCCCAGGACUGUGAGGAGAAGGGAAAUCAGUCCCUCAGCCUCAGUAUCCCCACUGGUCACAUCAUGGACAGCUUUGGAGUCAUUCCCUUGGAGAGUCUGACUUUUCCUGUUGGUCCUGAGGAGCCUCAGGGGGCCCUGGUGGUGCCCAGGCCCUGCCCCACUGCAGGAAGGAGCAGCCCCAUCCCCUCUGGAGCAGCCCUGGAGACUCCCAAGAAAGAGGAGCUGAAUAUUGAAGAAAGAAUCCCGGUGUACCUGCGGAACCUGGGCAUCGAGCAGUCCCCUGGCACCAUCCUGGCCCCAUUUGUGCCCCGUGGGCCCCUCCGGGAGCUGGAGUUCUCCCCAUGGGGGCUCAGGAGCCUGCAGCCCCCCCUGGACACGGCACCCCUGGACAGAGUCCCCCCGCAGGCCCAGGGUGCCUUGCUGCCAGCCUUUGAGCUGUCCCAGGCCAGCUUUGGCUCGGAUGUGUCCCCUCUGAGCGUGUCCCUCUCCGUGGGCUCCGAGGCUGGCUCAGAGCAGGAGCAGGACCUGCUGUCCCCCCGGGAGCUCAGUGCCAGCUCCCCCACGCUCUCUGGGCACUCCCCAGCCAGCCAGGGCAGUGUGCCAGGUCCCCAGCUGGAGGGGGGAGCCCCAGGGGACACAGAGGGGUCCCCAGGACCUGCUGGGGCAGAGCAGGACCUGCCCAGCUGCUCCUCGGGCAGGGAUCCCCGGGAUGGGGGGAGAAGGGCUCAGGAUGCCCUUGCUGACCCUGAGUGCAGGAGCUCAGACAGCAGCCAGCAGGGAUGGGCUCUGUCUGGGCUUGGGAAUGACAUGGAAUUGGACAGGGCAUCCUCGAGCUCCGGGGUGGGAAGUGAGAGCAGCCAGGGCCAGGAAAGGGAACCCCUGAUGGGCCCUGAGGCCCUGCAGGAGCUCCGGGAGCUGCUGGCACAGGCAGAGGGUCUGGCUGCCAGCUGGAGCCGUCCUGCUGGCCCCACAGCCUCCUGCAGGGAGCAGGGUGAGAGGGAGGAGGAUCCCAAGGAUGCCAGGUUAGGCCAGGACUGGACCCCAAAGCUGCAGGAGACACUGUCGUGGGAUGAGGCCGUGACUGCGAGGGGUGUGCAGGCACAGGAGCUGGACAUGGACCCUCUGGAUUCUGCCAGCUGCCAGCUGGCAUGGGGACACCCUCUGGCUGUCAGCUCCCAGCGCAGGGAAGGGCUGAGGGCAGUGGCCCAGGAGCCAAGGGCAGGGAAAUCCAUGGGGAGGUGGGAGCCAGAAGGGAGCAGCAGUGCGGGCAGGAGCCAGGCUGCCCGUGCAGGGCUGGCACAGAGCACUGCCAGCAGCCUCCCGGGCACUGGCACAGCCCCACAGCCGGGCCAUCCUCCCUCCCUGGAGCCCCUGGCAGUGCCCCCAAAAGCUGCCCGUGUGGGGCUGGCACAGAGCACUGGCACAGCCCCACAGCCAGGCCAUCCUCCUCCCCUGGAGCCCCUGGGCAGUGCCCCCGCUGGCCUGGGCAGCUCCCUGGGCUCCUGGGGCCAGGCUGGCAGGGCAGCAGGGACACAGAGCAGCGAGGACAGCAGCAGUGGGGAUUCCCUCAGUGCCCGGGUCAGGAGCCUCCUGAGGAGGGCUGGGCAGUCCCGGCAGCCGGGCAGUGCCCCGGGGGCGGUGCAGGGCAGCCUGCCCAGGGCUGGAGUUGCUCCGAGCCUGCCAGGAGCUGCCCUGAGCCCGGCGGGCAGCAGCAGCAGCAGCGGUGACUCGCUGGCCACCCGUGUCUGCAGCCUCCUGGGCACCACUGCCCCGGCCAGCCGUGUCCUGAAGAGCGCCGAGGAGCACGAGAGGA
rnacentral:lncRNA from 1 species